UACAGAGGUCCCAAGCGUUGUUCGGAUUCAUUGGGCGUAAAGGGUGUGUAGGUGGCGCCGUAAGUCGGGUGUGAAAUCUCGGGCUUAACUCCGAAACUGCAUUCGAUACUGCGGUGCUUGAGGACUGGAGAGGAGACUGGAAUUUACGGUGUAGCGGUGAAAUGCGUAGAUAUCGUGAAGGAAGACCCAGUGGCGAAGGCGGGUCUCUGGACAGUUCCUGACGCUGAGGCACGAAGGUCAGGGAGCAAACGGG
rnacentral:rRNA from 1 species